rnacentral:rRNA from 1 species
GAUGAACGCUGGCGGCGCGCCUAACACAUGCAAGUCGAACGAUUAAAGCACCUUCGGGUGUGUAUAAAGUGGCGAACGGCUGAGUAACACGUGGGCAACCUGCCCCUUUCAUUGGGAUAGCCACGGGAAACCGUGGAUAAUACCGAAUACUUCGAGACUUCCGCAUGGAAGACUCGAGAAAGCUCCGGCGGAGAGGGAUGGGCCCGCGGCCUGUUAGCUUGUUGGUGGGGUAACGGCCUACCAAGGCAAUGAUGGGUAGCUGGGGUGAGAGACCGACCAGCCAGAGUGGGACUGAGACACGGCCCAGACUCCUACGGGAGGCAGCAGUGGGGAAUCUUGCACAAUGGGCGAAAGCCUGAUGCGGCGACGCCGCGUGCGGGAUGAAGGCCUUCGGGUUGUAAACCGCUUUCAGCAGGGACGAGGCGAAAGUGGCGGUACCUGCAGAAGAAGCCCCGGCUAACUACGUG